rnacentral:rRNA from 1 species
UGAUUUGUUGGAUGCUAGCGGCGGAUGGGUGAGUAACACGUGGGCAAUCUGCCCUAAAGACUGGGAUACCACUUGGAAACAGGUGCUAAUACCGGAUAACAACAUGAAUCGCAUGAUUCAAGUUUGAAAGGCGGCGUAAGCUGUCACUUUAGGAUGAGCCCGCGGCGCAUUAGCUAGUUGGUGGGGUAAAGGCCUACCAAGGCAAUGAUGCGUAGCCGAGUUGAGAGACUGAUCGGCCACAUUGGGACUGAGACACGGCCCAAACUCCUACGGGAGGCAGCAGUAGGGAAUCUUCCACAAUGGACGCAAGUCUGAUGGAGCAACGCCGCGUGAGUGAAGAAGGUUUUCGGAUCGUAAAGCUCUGUUGUUGGUGAAGAAGGAUAGAGGCAGUAACUGGUCUUUAUUUGACGGUAAUCAACCAGAAAGUCACGGCUAACUACGUGCCAGCAGCCGCGGUAAUACGUAGGUGGCAAGCGUUGUCCGGAUUUAUUGGGCGUAAAGCGAGCGCAGGCGGA